GACGAACGCUGGCGGCGUGCCUAAUACAUGCAAGUAGAACGCUGAAGGAGGAGCUUGCUCUUCUGGAUGAGUUGCGAACGGGUGAGUAACGCGUAGGUAACCUACCUGGUAGCGGGGGAUAACUAUUGGAAACGAUAGCUAAUAUCGCAUAACAGUAGAUGUUGCAUGACAUUUACUUAAAAGGUGCAAUUGCAUCACUACUAGAUGGACCUGCGUUGUAUUAGCUAGUUGGUGGGGUAACGGCUCACCAAGGCGACGAUACAUAGCCGACCUGGGAGGGGGAACGGCCACACUGGGACUGGGGCCAGGCCCAGAAUCCUACGGGGAGGAGCCGUAGGGAAUCUUCGGCAAUGGACGGAAGUCUGACCGGGCAACGCCGGGGGAGGGGAGAAAGUUUUCGGGUCGUAAAGAUCUGUUGUUAGGGAAGAACGAGUGUGGGAGUGGAAAGUGCACACUGUGACGGUACCUUACCAGAAAGGGACGGCUAACUACGUG
rnacentral:rRNA from 1 species